CACGUAGUUAGCCGGGGCUUCUUAGUCAGGUACCGUCAUUUUCUUUCCUGCUGAUAGAGCUUUACGUACCGAAAUACUUCUUCACUCACGCGGCGUCGCUGGAUCAGGGUUUCCCCCAUUGUCCAAUAUUCCCCACUGCUGCCUCCCGUAGGAGUUUGGGCCGUGUCUCAGUCCCAAUGUGGCCGUCCACCUCUCAGGCCGGCUACUGAUCGUCGCCUUGGUCGGGCCGUUACCCCGCCAACCAGCUAAUCAGACGCGGGCCCAUCCCAUACCACCGGAGUUUUCACACACCUUCAUGCGAAGCUGUGCGCUUAUGCGGUUUUAGCUACCUGUUUCCAGGUGUUAUCCCCCGGUAUGGGGCAGGUUGCCCACGCGUUACUCACCCGUCCGCCACUAACUUACACUUCCGUAGUCAAUGCAAGCAUCUCCUGCUUCUGUGUAAGUCCGUUCGACUUGCAUGUGUUAGGCACGCCGCCAGCGUCAUCCG
rnacentral:rRNA from 1 species